rnacentral:rRNA from 1 species
UACGGGGGAUGCAAGCGUUAUCCGGAUUUAUUGGGCGUAAAGCGCCUGUAGGUUGUUUAAUAAGUCUGUUGUUAAAGACUAGGGCUCAACCCUGGGAAAGCAAUGGAAACUGAUAAACUUGAGUAUGGCAGGGGUAGAGGGAAUUUCUAGUGUAGCGGUGAAAUGCGUAGAUAUUAGAAAGAACACCGGUGGCGAAAGCGCUCUACUGGACCAUUACUGACACUCAGAGGCGAAAGCUAGGGUAGCAAAUGGG